GACGAACGCUGGCGGCGUGCCUAAUACAUGCAAGUCGAACGCUUCUUCUUCCACCGGAGCUUGCUCCACCGGAAAAAGAGGAGUGGCGAACGGGUGAGUAACACGUGGGUAACCUGCCCAUCAGAAGGGGAUAACACUUGGAAACAGGUGCUAAUACCGUAUAACAAUCAAAACCGCAUGGUUUUGAUUUGAAAGGCGCUUUCGGGUGUCGCUGAUGGAUGGACCCGCGGUGCAUUAGCUAGUUGGUGAGGUAACGGCUCACCAAGGCCACGAUGCAGAGACGACCUGAGAGGGUGAUCGGCCACAUUGGGACUGAGACACGGCCCAAACUCCUACGGGAGGCAGCAGUAGGGAAUCUUCGGCAAUGGACGAAAGUCUGACCGAGCAACGCCGCGUGAGUGAAGAAGGUUUUCGGAUCGUAAAACUCUGUUGUUAGAGAAGAACAAGGAUGAGAGUAACUGUUCAUCCCUUGACGGUAUCUAACCAGAAAGCCACGGCUAACUACGUGCCAGCAGCCGCGGUAA
rnacentral:rRNA from 1 species